CGGGGCUUCUUCUUCAAACUCCUUCCACAGACAUGUUCUACAAAACCAAGUCUGGGGUGCAGUUUUCCAGUCCCAGAUUUCCUAGGCUUAGGUCCUUAAAACUACUUUGUGGGGCAGCUCAAUGGCUCCAAUUGGAGAUUGGGAUUGAGAGCCAGGUCCAGAGAAGCCUCAGACAUUUCCUAGCUGAUAAAUCUAGGUAGUUUGGGAAUGAGAAUGCUCUCAAUUCAGUCAUUUCCAGUCCCAUCCAACUCUUCACAAUCCCUUUUUGUGACUCUUCUGUUCAUGGCAAAGAUACUGGAGUGGUUUGCGAUUUUCUUCAGUUAAUUUUACAGAUGAGGAAACUGAGGCAAACGGUUAAAUGUCUUGCCCAGGGACACCCAGCUGAAGCUAGGUCGCUGUGGCAACAACUCCAUCAAAUUCUUCCAUCCAUUCCUUUCCAGUUGGCGCCCCAUUUUGUUUUCUCACCUCCCUUGACAGAAUUACUACACCAGAAGCAUGGGAGCAAGACCUGACUGCAGAAAUAUUGGCAGAGUGGGGAAGGAGGGACAAAUGACCCUUAGGUUCAUUCAGAUCCCUCUGCCUCCCUAUGUUGGCUUUCCUGUGCCUAUCAUUCUCUAGAAUUAUUUUUUCAAGACCAUAUGUUUCCAACCUUCACUAACACAGAAAUAGAUUUUGUUAAAGAGCAGAUUGAAAAUAUAUUCAGAUAAAUCCAAAUGUUUGCAUUAAUGGUUCGCUGUGGAGUUUCAUGAUUGGGAACAGAGCUGUAUUAAAUCAGAC
rnacentral:lncRNA from 1 species